rnacentral:rRNA from 1 species
GACGAACGCUGGCGGCGUGCUUAACACAUGCAAGUCGAACGGAAAGGCCUGCUUUCCCUUGUGGAUUGCGGGUACUCGAGUGGCGAACGGGUGAGUAACACGUGAGUGAUCUGCCCCCAACUUGGGUAUAAGCCUGGGAAACUGGGUCUAAUUCCCGAUAGGACUGCAGGGUGGUGCCUGUGGUGGAAAACGAUUUUCUAGUGGUUGGGGAUGAGCUCGCGGCCUAUCAGCUUGUUGGUGGGGGAAUGGCCUACCAAGGCGGCGACGGGUAGCCGGCCUGAGAGGGUGGACGGCCACAUUGGGACUGAGAUACGGCCCAGACGCCUACGGGAGGCAGCAGUGGGGAGUAGUGCACAAUGGGCGGAAGCCUGAUGCAGCGACGCCGCGUGGGGGAUGACGGCCUUCGGGUUGUAAACUCCUUUCGACCGCGAGGAAGCCACCUGGAUGGAAGGGUGGUGACGGUAGUGGUAGAAGAAGCACCGGCUAACUACGUG